ACAUUUUUUGUCUUUGUUUUCGCUAGAAAAAAAAGUCACCUUCGCCUCUUUCCCUAUAUUCACAUGCAUAUCUACAUACGGAUGUAUGUAUGUACGAGUAUGUACAAGGAAAUCUGUGAGUGGUCACGUCUGCCACUACUGUCCGCUGACAAGAGUAACAAAAACAGCCAUCAAUAAAGUUCUACUCUUUCCAACGCGCGCUCGAUCCGCGCGGUGCGUGCCCGUGUACCUGGUGUGUCUGGUCUGAACGUGCAGUGAAUGGCAGGACUCGCUGGUGUGCCUCCUCCUGCAGUUGCCAAAGUGAUGCUCCCCCUCACGGACAAUGGCAAGUUUUUAUCACUCCACGGCAGGUGCGUUGCCGAGACAAUGGAAACUGAUGCACCACUCCAUUUGCUCUUUCUCCUUCUUCAUCUUGAGGUCCGCCUACCCGGUCCGCCAUUUGUCUCAUUUGCUCCCAGACUAGAGAUGGGCAUUUGCCAUAUGGCUGUAUGUGACUCAUGUGAUAAGUGCAUACGGAGGCCUGCCUGCUUUGCCCCCCGCUUUAUUUUCAUCAUUCGAGCUGUCAUAUUCCACCAAUCCGGUGGUCUUUUCUUUAGAGGUAUUGCUCUUAAAGUCUCAGAGAUCGACAGACGACGGAAUAUGGAUGGUUCGUAAAUGUUUUUCGUGCGUGUGCUUGUGCGUUCCGUGGCAGUCCGUCCCUGGCCGCGCCCAUCGCCAUCUGGGACCGAACUGCAUUCAACACAAAACGAGCUGAGCUCAAUGGGCGUGGCCAGCUUUUAUGGUCCGGCGAUAAAAUCAAAUUGAAGUUUUCCCGGCUUUCCUCAAAGACAGAGACACACAGGAGAGCGAGUGAGAGAGAGUGAGGAGUGAAAACGGUUGGCUCAUUUAUUAUUAUGAGGCGGCCGUUGUGUGGAACCGGAGGCAUCCAGAAGGGAAUGAAAUCAUUUGUAACCUGGCACGUGAAAAUCAGCUCGAGCCAGGCAUCCCGUUGCAAAGUUCGAUUGGCCAUUGUGGCAAAGCGCAUUCUAUGGGUUCAUUCAGCCCUCUUUCGAUUUGCCUCUAAUCCGACCCCCCCACCGACAAAACUUUCUGUCCGCACCUUUGUCGGCUGGUUGGAGAUAACCCGUUUGUGCCCAACUUCUUGCCUGUUAAAUAUAUGUGAAUUAACAAAAG